CUGCCUGGAAGAGAAAAAGUCACGGGAAGAAAAUGAGAAUCUAAAGCUCAGCCAUGUCAGUUUAGCUGCUGAAGGCCUCCCAGCUAGUGGGGAUACAAGUUCACACUGGGAUCACUCAGGGAGUCCCUGAUUUCUGGCAAUCCCUUCCAGAAUUAACUCCGACCCAAAAUGCAAUGCUCCUCGAUUGGCUUGGUGUCUGCAAGCUCUUUAGCAGACUCCCUGUGGUCUAUUUUGGAUUCUUUGUGUUCUCUGUUAUAUAUGAAUCAAGAUAAGGAUGUGAGGCUUCGUGAGCAAUGGGAACAUGAAAAUCAGUGAGAAAUGCCGCA